AACAAUGUAUUGGACAAGUCUGAUCUCCAAUGUACGUCAAGGGUUCUCAAGUAUAGACUACUGAAGAGAAUGCAAUAUGCCUAUUUUGUUUUAGGACAUAUAUUCGUUAUGUUAUUUUGAAAUCUAUUCUAAUGAAUAAGUUUGGCCAUCUUUGUGCUGGCAGAAAAGAUUGCAGAAAAGCUUUUUAAUUCCAUAGCAGCUAGACUUCAUGGGAGAUUUGGGAUCCUCCACAACAACAUCCUUAACUGGUGUCAGUCUUCGCGCAUGCUGCCAGCUACCAUGGAGUGAGGCAAACCAUAUAUCACUGUUUUUGCUGUAGUAAAUGCUAACCAUGGAUGACCAUUAUUGGGUCUUGAUGUAACCUCUUUCGGCACAACUUUUUCGUCAACCUGAUAAACAUUCCAGGUACGUUAUAUCAUCCUUUAGCCAUCGUGGAAAGUCUGUGUCAAAGGUUCUUUAUAAAUUAAAUUUUCUGUGAAGAGCCUUCUUGAAGAUAAAAGAGCAUCUCCUUUCAUCUUCUCUUUCGUUGAUCAGAUGCCUUACGGCAGACAUGUGUUUGGCAUUGACGCAUUAGCCAAUUUCUAGGGACAUAUUCCUGCUUUCCAGAAAUUUAAUACUGAAACAUUAUCAUAACGUCAAUUCUUAUUGUCAAUUUAGUGGUAGGCAAGAGUCAAAAAGAAUUUAGUAUUAGAAACAAAAUUUGUAUGUUUGAUGAAGACAUGAUAUUCUGUAGAAAAGCAUAUUUCAUGAGCUUCGUCGAUUUACAAGUCCAUUGGCCCAGGAAAGCUUUGAGAAGGGUAUACUGAAGCUCAGCUGGCACUUGUAUGCUUGUGCAGAGGCACAUAGCUACAGUUUGUCGGCUGAGGGAAAAGAGAGCUAGCGUCUUCAUUACAAUUGGAUUCGAAUAUUGUAAUGCAGCUAUCAAAUGGACUGGCCAAGGCAAUUUGGAUGGCUGGGGAAUGAUUCACUCCUCGUCCCCAAUUCCUAAUGGCUACCUGCCGGUGCGCUCUUUUGUCCUGGGCCACGCUGAUCAGCUGAUGGGUGAGUGGUGAGAGACUCAAGAGGAUGGAGUGCCCGAGCCAGACGAACAGCCGGCUGGUCCCUGGCGUGGCGUGGCGUGGCGCGCUUUGCUGUCCCGGACGGAAUGGCAGUUUGGCCUUGCACUGGCGCCGGGGGCAUGGCCGGGACGGGCGGUUUUGUUGGAGCUUGGACGCACGCUGCCGGCCUCACCGUCCCGUGUGUCACGGGUACUUGUGCAGCACCCGCCUGGCCCCGGACACCGUGAUGAUGUUAACCUGACCUCGCCGCUGGCUCUCCAUUCUCCAGUCUGUCAACUUGCCCGAGUCCAUUCUGAAGCCAGUCCCAGGUAAAAAGCGACACAUCCAUACCGCCAGUGCCCAGUGGGGCUGGGCUAGGGCUAGGGCUAGCUUCUGCUCAUUGCUCAUGAUGUGCCUGCCCCGACCCUGAUAACAUCACAAGUCCAGUCCCAGUCGAGUCCAGUCAACCGUCAAGUCCUCCAGCUCAUCGUGCCCGUCACCAACGGGCCUCCCCUGUCGCUGGCUUUGCUGCUGGUAGAGCCCCGGCUGGCGGGCGAGACGGGGGAGAUGACGAACGGGUGCGGCCAAAACUGGGAGCCCGGCCCCGAGCGUGCUCUCUCGUUGCCGGAUACAAACGCAGGCUUCGGUUACGUGCAACGUGCGCGGUGCAUGUGAGGGGCUCAUUGGCCCGACGCGAUGAUGCUCACACAAGACAAAUCCGGCGAGGGCGAGGCCAGGAAGGAGGCAGGGAGCACGCCAUGGGAGGUGGGUGAGGUGAUGCAAGCCACAUGCGGCCUUGCACGGCUGUUGCUGGGCAACUCGACACAUUGAGGAGACCACACAUGGGGGCCGAGCCUGGCGUGCGUGCGUGCCCUGGAGAGCAGAUAGCAUUGGGGGUUCAAGGGUGGCUUGGUUUGGUUGUGCUUUUGUUUGGAAUGCAGAAGUUUUUGUGAACUCCGUGCUCGGUACGAAGUUUCUGCGUGUCUUCGUGCGGUCAGGCUUGCCUAUAAACAUGCUGAACAAAUAAUACACUUCGCGAAUAAAAUG